AUAUCAAUAAGCGGAGGAAAAGAAACCAACAGGGAUUGCCUCAGUAACGGCGAGUGAAGCGGCAACAGCUCAGAUUUGAAAGCCGGCCUACGCCUGCGUUGUAAUCUGCAGAGGAAUGUCUGGUCGCGGGAUGGGCGCAAGUCUUUUGGAAUGAAGCGCACGAUAGGGUGAGAGCCCCGUAUCCGCCUCGGCCCAAGACCGUUUAGACAUCCUUCGACGAGUCGAGUUGUUUGGGAAUGCAGCUCAAAACGGGUGGUAAAUUCCAUCUAAAGCUAAAUAUUGGCCAGAGACCGAUAGCGCACAAGUAGAGUGAUCGAAAGAUGAAAAGCACUUUGGAAAGAGAGUUAAAAAGUACGUGAAAUUGUUGAAAGGGAAGCGCUCGCGAUCAGAGUUGGCCCGGAAGUUCCCCCGUCUCUCGGCGGGUUACUCUUCCGCGGCCAGGCCAGCAUCGGUUUCCGCGGAUGUACAAAGGCGCCGGGAACGUAGCCUGCCUUCGGGGAGGUGUUAUAGCCCGGCGCAUAAUCCGUCCUGCGGGGACCGAGGAACGCGCAUCUGCCAGGAUGCUGGCGUAAUGGUUGCUAGCGG
rnacentral:rRNA from 1 species